CUACACGUGACUUUGACUGGACAUUUGGUAUAGGAUCAUGGAUAGGAGGACUUGGGAUGAAAAUAUUAAAGGGAAUUGUGUGGUGUGUUUUUAUUAUACUUUGUAUUUACCUAUGCUACAAACUUACCAUUUGCUGCAUUCAAAGAGUGGCUACAUGUAAAACAAAUGCCAGGAUAGACUUAGAAGAGUGACAAAUGUUUUUAUAGAUAGACUAGAUGCCCUUAAUAUUAGAGAUAAGCGGGAAGAGGCAUGUCCUACGGGUGACCCUCGACUCGAAGAGCUUUAUUGCAUGAAUUGGUUCCAGGCGUGAAUGGGACAAUAUGGGGAUCAGUGGGAAAAUGGGCUUGCCCCCUGCUGAUAACCUGAAUGGUACGCGUAAAUGUGUAAGGUUUUGCUCACUUAGUGAUCAAG